rnacentral:rRNA from 1 species
GAUGAACGCUGGCGGCGUGCCUAAUACAUGCAAGUCGAGCGAACGGACGAGAAGCUUGCUUCUCUGAUGUUAGCGGCGGACGGGUGAGUAACACGUGGAUAACCUACCUAUAAGACUGGGAUAACUUCGGGAAACCGGAGCUAAUACCGGAUGAUAUUUUGAACCGCAUGGUUCAAAAGUGAAAGACGGUCUUGCUGUCACUUAUAGAUGGAUCCGCGCUGCAUUAGCUAGUUGGUAAGGUAACGGCUUACCAAGGCAACGAUGCACAGCCGACCUGAGAGGGUGAUCGGCCACACUGGAACUGAGACACGGUCCAGACUCCUACGGGAGGCGGCAGUAGGGAAUCUUCCGCAAUGGGCGAAAGCCUGACGGAGCAACGCCGCGUGAGUGAUGAAGGUCUUCGGAUCGUAAAACUCUGUUAUUAGGGAAGAACAUAUGUGUAAGUAACUGUGCACAUCUUGACGGUACCUAAUCAGAAAGCCACGGCUAACUACGUG